GAAGCUACAGUAACAUGCUGUACCAUGAAGAAUCGUUAAGCUGGUCCACAGUGGUCUCAAACAUCUACUACUACAACCAUGAUGUGGGAGACCUCUGCAGACUCAACACGUAUAAAGGUGAAAAUUACACUUAAACUUAAACAUGGAGCCGAUUCGGUUCUUCAGUCUAAUUCCAUGCUGAGGAGGGAAGGAGAUCUGAGGGAACUUCUCACGAAGUUCACACUGGCCACAACACACAAAAAGUGCUGCUCUGACCUCCUGGUUACGGAUCCAUUUCAACACGACGAACGAACUCACGUGUCAGACAAUCGACCAAUGAUCUUCUACCCACUUUCCUUAAAGAUGACGUGACGAUGUAAAACGUUUUUACUCAUUUUUACUCUACUUGUUCCUGAGUUUAAAGGCUCCUGAGGGAACAUGGAGGAGGUGGAGUCGUGUGCACAAUGCUUUUUAAAGCUAGGAAGGGUGAUAGCCUAGUGGGUUAGACACUCGCCUAUGAACCAGAAGACCCAGGUUCAAAUCCCGCUUACUACCAUCGUGUCCCUGAGCAAGACACUUAACCCUGAGUGUCUCCAGGGGGGAGACUGUCCCUGUAACUACUGAUUGUAAGUCGCUCUGGAUAAGGGCUUAAAUGCUGUAAGUGUAAAUGUAGUGUAGUCUGAAAGAAGGACACUAGGUGUGUUUAGUGGUAUUUGUACCUUCUAAAAAUAAUAAUGUGUAAUAAAAUUGCUUCUUCUGAACAGCUGUGAAAAAGGUGAACUCUAUUUAUCAUUUCUGCUCCGUCCUGGUUGUUCUUUGAAAAGUAUCCGCAUAUUUCAUACAGGCCUCUGCAUGCCUGGCCACGCCCGUCCGAUGCACUGAUCACAGGCGUUUCUUUUACUCCAGUUUUAAAGAUGAGGAAGAUGAGGAACCUGAGCUGUUGUGCUGCGGCCUGCUGGCUCUUCACAAGCUUCAGUUUCGGCGCCGUCCUGGAGCUGGAGUUAAGCCCCGCCCAGCGCGCCCCCUGCCUCGGGAACCUGACGCUCAGCUGCAGCUUCGCCAGUGAGGAGCAAGUCACUGCGGUGACCAUGUACUGGUUCCUCAUGGUGGACCUGGCCGAACAGAAGAUGUGCGAGGUGAAGGACGGCGUGGUGAACAACACGAGCCGGCGGGCCACCUGCACGCAUGCCCCGCCCGGGCGGCUCCACCUGACCCUGCACCGCGCCGGACCCCUGGACACCGGAACCUACUUCUGCAAGCUGAGGAGCAGCGUGGGGUUCAGCUUGGCCAACACCACGGUGACCCCUGCAGAGUGUCCUGGAACAUUUCAGCAUGUGACCCUACAGAAGCCACUCCGGCAGGGCUGUGUGUUUAAUGGGGUGUACCCUGCGGGGGCUGUGCACUGGUUCUCCAGGGACAGGAACGUGACGAGCCUGGCCACAGAAGACGUGAGUUCCGAGGGUGGACUCUACAACAUCGGCAGCGUCAUCCCCUCAAAGGAGCUGGACACGCCCCUCAACUGCUCCCUGUGGGUCCCCAGCGCUGGCAACCCCCAGGGACCGUAUCCAACGGCAACCACUGCCACGGCCCAGUAAUCAGGUAACUGGUACCGGCGGAGUUGAGCAGAUCCCCGUAGGUGGGAGAACCCAAGCGGGCAGGUAUCCGUCCUUCCAUCCACAGUGCGAAAUUCCGGUGGAGACCAGCUGCAGAAUGGGACGGUAAAUGGGGGUGAGAGGUCACGUGUUCCCCACUGCGAUGUGAUGAACAGACAUGGCGUGUCAUGGCGUGUUCGGAAUAACAGAUGGUUUUCAACAGGAUAUUCAGGGACCUUGUCUGUACUGUUGUUAUUGUUGUCAGAAAAUUUGACCACAUCACCCCAGUCUUACUGUAAAGCUCUAAAUUGUCUCACCCCGCAGUACCUGAGUGAACUUUUAGUUCUUUACGAUCUCAAAGUACCCACCAACUGACACCACUUGCAGGCUCACUCUACCCUGGAAGGGGGUCCCUCUCUCUAUCACUCCGUCCCAACGUUUCUUCCGAACGAGAGUUUUUUUAUGUGGAGUUUUUCCUUGUGUGCAGAAGGGUCAAGUGUGUUGGGUGUCAACUGUAGGGCCUGUCAAAGCCCGUAGAGACAUACUGUAUGUGAUUAUGGGCUAUAUAAGAAAUAAAUGGUGUUGUUUUUGCA
ensembl:lncRNA